rnacentral:rRNA from 1 species
GAUGAACGCUGGCGGCGUGCCUAAUACAUGCAAGUCGAGCGAACGGACGAUAAGCUUUCUUCUCUGAUGUUAGCGGCUGACGGGUGAGUAACACGUGGAUAACCUACCUCUUAGACUUGGAUAAUUUCGUGAAACCGGUUCUACUACUGGAUAAUAUUUUGAACCGCAUAGUUCAAAAGUUAUAGACGGUCUUGCUGUCACUUAUAGAUGGUUCCGCGCUGCAUUAGCUAGUUGGUAAGGUAACGGCUUACCAAGGCAACGAUGCAUAGCUGACCUGAGAGGGUGAUCGGCCACACUGGAACUGAGACACGGUCCAGACUCCUACGGGAGGCAGCAGUAGGGAAUAUUGCGCAAUGGGCGCAAGCCUGACGGAGCAACGCCGCGUGAGUGAUGAAGGUCUUCGGAUCGUAAAACUCUGUUAUUAGGGAAGAAAAGAUGUGUAAGUAACUGUGCACAUCUUGACGGUACCUAAUCAGAAAGCCACGGCUAACUACGUG